CUACGGGCUGCACCAGUGGGGAAUAUUGGGUAAUGGGCGAAAGCCUGACCCAGCAACGCCGCGUUAAGGAAGAAGGUUUUCGGAUCGUAAACUUCUAUCCUAGGUGAAGAUAAUGACGGUAGCCUAGAAGGAAGCCCCGGCUAACUACGUGCCAGCAGCCGCGGUAAUACGUAGGGGGCAAGCGUUGUCCGGAAUGAUUGGGCGUAAAGGGCGCGUAGGCGGCCAUGUAAGUCCGGUGUGAAAGUCCUGCUUUUAAGGUGGGAAUUGCAUUGGAAACUGUGUGGCUUGAGUGCAGGAGAGGUAAGCGGAAUUCCCGGUGUAGCGGUGAAAUGCGUAGAGAUCGGGAGGAACACCAGUGGCGAAGGCGGCUUACUGGACUGUAACUGACGCUGAGGCGCGAAAGUGUGGGGAGCAAACAGGAUUAGAUACCCGUGUAGUC
rnacentral:rRNA from 1 species